UCUCGUCAAAGAAAGGAGUUGUGCGGCGUGAAGGUGGAGUUGCAGCUGAAACUAAGGGGAUUUCUAGGGUUUCUCAAGACAAAGGAAAGUUCUUUCUUGCUUUAUCAUGUACUAUUGGUAUUUAUGUAAGCUUCAAUUGUUCUUUCUAUUGAAAACAUAAGAUAAGAAGUAGAAAUUUUUAGGUUAAAUUCGUAUGGAUUGAUAUUUUUGUCAUCUGAAAAAUUAGGUACUGAUGGGUCUCUAAACGGAGAUCCAACCAUCGGAUUAUUGUGAUUUUUUAUUAUGUUAUACCUUUCUAUGAACUUGCCACUCGACCAAAAUUUCAGCUCGAUCGUACUGGGAGAGGUCACAUAAAAUUCCAUAUUUCAGAGACUGAUUUCUGCAGAUUUUGUGUAAUUAGGCAGUUCUGAAAACCCAAAAGAGCAUAGUUAUACUAAAUAUAAUUGUCUGAGAUUUUAAUGGGAAUAAUAAAUUUAUCAUAUGAAUUUACUUUAAAAAUUUCACUUGAAUCCAAGUUAUAGAAGUACCUCAACUAGCUGACUUUUACAUGUGAAUUGGUAGGAAUUCAGUUUUCGAUGUUUGUAUAGAAUCAGGGGUAUUUUGGUUUCUAACCGUUGUUUUCCUUUAAAAUUAUAAGACAAUGGUUUUGUUAUUUCUAUGAAUGCGUGAUAAAGUUUUCAUUAGGAUCAGAUUAGUGUUUAUAAAGAAAGUGACAGGUCCAAUGGUGAUGGUCGAAGUAAGACUGCUGGGUAGUUCUGAAAAAUGUUGUGUGUUGUGGUAAUGUUUCCGCUUAUUGAUAUUCUUAUGUGAAUGAAUACUGUAUUGAAGUGCAGGUGCUUGAUUAUAGACUUUCUAAAAUGUCUUGUAAAGAUGUUGAAGUAAUGUUAGGAUUUAAAUCCUUAUUGAAUGAUAUAUUGUAUGUGAAUCUACUUACUAAGAGAGCAGGGCCUCGUCUAUUCAAAUAGUAUGAGUGUCGCGGUGGGUAGUAGAUGAAUUGGAUAAGCCAAGAGAUCAGGGCCACGAUAGCAUAUAGCUUGUAGCAGAAUAAUACGGUGGGAUAGUUGUGGGGUUUUCUUGAGUUUCCGCUGCAGUAUCUGGGAAGAAGUGGAAUCUCUUCCUUUAUGUGGUUUUCUGUUGAAUUUGUUUUCAUUUAUUUUCUACAAGGUUAUCACAUUGUUAUUUGUAUUUUUUUCAAAUAUUUUUCUUAUCAAAACUUUGUUAAUACUAAAGUAUUUCAUUAGUAGAACUUUUUAAGUCCAA